CGGCAGGCCUAACACAUGCAAGUCGAGCGGUAGCACAGGAGAGCUUGCUCUCUGGGUGACGAGCGGCGGACGGGUGAGUAAUGUCUGGGGAUCUGCCUGAUGGAGGGGGAUAACUACUGGAAACGGUAGCUAAUACCGCAUAACGUCGCAAGACCAAAGAGGGGGACCUUCGGGCCUCUUGCCAUCAGAUGAACCCAGAUGGGAUUAGCUAGUAGGUGAGGUAAUGGCUCACCUAGGCGACGAUCCCUAGCUGGUCUGAGAGGAUGACCAGCCACACUGGAACUGAGACACGGUCCAGACUCCUACGGGAGGCAGCAGUGGGGAAUAUUGCACAAUGGGCGCAAGCCUGAUGCAGCCAUGCCGCGUGUAUGAAGAAGGCCUUCGGGUUGUAAAGUACUUUCAGCGAGGAGGAAGGCAUUAAGGUUAAUAACCUUAGUGAUUGACGUUACUCGCAGAAGAAGCACCGGCUAACUCCGUGCCAGCAGCCGCCGCGUAACAC
rnacentral:rRNA from 1 species